UACGUAGGGUGCAAGCGUUGUCCGGAAUUAUUGGGCGUAAAGAGCUCGUAGGCGGUCUGUCGCGUCUGCUGUGAAAACUCAGGGCUUAACCCUGAGCUUGCAGUGGGUACGGGCAGACUAGAGUGCGGUAGGGGAGACUGGAAUUCCUGGUGUAGCGGUGAAAUGCGCAGAUAUCGGGAGGAACACCGGUGGCGAAGGCGGUUCUCUGGGCCUGUACUGACGCUGAGGAGCGAAAG
rnacentral:rRNA from 1 species